rnacentral:rRNA from 1 species
AGUAAAAGUCGUAACAAGGUUUCCGUAGGUGAACCUGCGGAAGGAUCAUUAUUGAAUAAAUCUGAUGUGGUUGUAGCUGGCUCUCCGGAGCAUGUGCACGCCCAUCACCUUUAUCUCUCCACCUGUGCACACACUGUAGUCCUGGAUACCUCUCGCCGCAAGGCGGAUGCGAGGCUUGCUGUGUCUUCGCAAGAAGGCCGGCUCGCUUCGAAUUUCCAGGUCUACGAUACUUAUACACCCCAAACCGAAUGUUACAGAAUGUUAUCACUGGGCCUUGUGCCUAUAAACCUAUACAACUUUCAGCAACGGAUCUCUUGGCUCUCGCAUCGAUGAAGAACGCAGCGAAAUGCGAUAAGUAAUGUGAAUUGCAGAAUUCAGUGAAUCAUCGAAUCUUUGAACGCACCUUGCGCUCCUUGGUAUUCCGAGGAGCAUGCCUGUUUGAGUGUCAUUAAAUUCUCAACCUCACCAGUUUUGCUGUGUGAUGGCUUGGAUGUGGGGGUUGCAGGUCCACUCUGUGGUCUGCUCCUCUAAAAUGUAUUAGUGGGUUGAGCCCCUAAUCUAUUGGUGUGAUAAUUAUCUACGCCGUGGAUUGGAAGGCUAUCAUAGACCUGCUUCUAACCGUCCCUCACAGGACAACUUUGACAUUUUUGACCUCAAAUCAGGUAAGACUACCCGCUGAACUUAAGCAUAUCAAUAAGCGGAGGA